rnacentral:rRNA from 1 species
GUAAUGGCAGGUCAGCAUACUGCCGUGAAUACGUUCCCGGGCCUUGUACACACCGCCCGUCACACCAUGAGAGUUGGGAAUACCCGAAGCCUGUGAGCUAACUUUUAGAGGCAGCAGUCGAAGGUAGAAUCAAUGAUUGGGGUGAAGUCGUAACAAGGUAGC